rnacentral:rRNA from 1 species
UACGAAGGGGGCUAGCGUUGCUCGGAAUCACUGGGCGUAAAGCGCACGUAGGCGGAUUGCUAAGUCAGGGGUGAAAUCCUGGAGCUCAACUCCAGAACUGCCUUUGAUACUGGCGAUCUCGAGUCCGGGAGAGGUGAGUGGAACUGCGAGUGUAGAGGUGCAAUUCGUAGAUAUUCGCAAGAACACCAGUGGCGAAGGCGGCUCACUGGCCCGGUACUGACGCUGAGGUGCGAAAGCGUGGGGAGCAAACAGG